GCGUCCGUAGCUCAAUGGAUAGAGUACUGCCCUCCGAAGGCAGGGGUUGCUGGUUCGAUCCCAGCCGGACGCACCA
rnacentral:tRNA from 2 species